GCUGGCUGUAUGGAUACUUAGGGCAGCUUGCUACUGGAUAAGUAUGCUGAAGAAAGGAUAAAGGAUGUAUAAAAGUCUGUAACUUCCUGCUCGGUUUGCAGGAUUUGAGAUUAAUGUCUCCCUGCACCACUUGAAGCUUCAAAUAAACUUUUCCGCUUCUC